rnacentral:rRNA from 1 species
UACGUAGGGGGCUAGCGUUGUCCGGAAUCAUUGGGCGUAAAGCGCGUGUAGGCGGUCCGGUAAGUCCGCUGUGAAAGUCGGGGGGCUCAACCCUCGGAUGCCGGUGGAUACUGUCGGGCUUGAGUACGGAAGAGGCGAGUGGAAUUCCUGGUGUAGCGGUGAAAUGCGCAGAUAUCAGGAGGAACACCAAUGGCGAAGGCAGCUCGCUGGGACGUACUGACGCUGGAGACGCGAAAGCGUGGGGAGCAAACAGGAUUAGAACCUACCGAGUCAGACCAAGACCAU